rnacentral:lncRNA from 1 species
AAAAAUAAUUAUUUUGAUAGUAGGGUCUGAACGUGUUUUGUUCCAAAUGCAUCGGCGAGGAAUAAUGAUAUUGGGUGCAUGUGAUUAUGAGUAGAAUACACUACAUACCUUCGACUUUAUUCCCAUCUUAAAAUAAUUAAAAAAAGUGGUUGACGAGUCAUGAGAGUUUAGUUAGAUAAAGUAAUUAAAAUAAUUAGAAGAUGGUGUAGGUUCGUUUUGUCAAAGAAUAAACAACAUAUUCCCAACACUGCAAUUCAAUUUUAAUUUUUAUUGUUUGAAAAUUCUCAAACUUUUG